rnacentral:lncRNA from 1 species
AUGCUUUGGAUUCUAGACUCAUUUUCCUUGGAUUCUUCCUUCAGUAUAAGUGAUGGUCCAGUUUCCUCCAUUUAAAUGUUUCUUUCUCUACCUUCAUCCAAUCUCCCUCUAUUAAAAAAAGUCUUUUCCCUCCUACUGCCAUCUCCUGUGGGUUGACUCCCUACUACCUUUCUAGAGCUAGUGUCUUGCUUACAGGCAGCCUCAAUCAGAUCCAUUCUCAGCCCUCAGAUCCUCUCUGUAGCACCUAGCAGUUGGGGCUACCUUCUUUGGAGACUGAUCUUUCAGAUGCUGUGCUGCUGCAACCUCCCAGAUCUCUCACUUGUUCUUUUUGCUUCCUAAAAGUAGGCAUAUCCUUGGAAUCAUCUUCUCCACCCCCAGCCCCUUCUUUCUUUUUGUGGAAGUCGGGAGUGAACCCAGAGGUACUUUACCACAAGGUGCAUAGCCAGCCAUAUGAAAAUUUUAUUUGAGACAGGGUCUUGCUAAGUUGCCCAGGCUGGCCUCAGACUUGCAAUCCUCCUGUCUCACCUCCCAAGUAGCUUUGGCUACUGGAGUACCUGGGAGUACAGUAGUGCCACUGCAGCCAGCUUAGAUCUAUCCUUUUCUUCCUAAGGCUUCUCUCUUGGGAUGAUUUUAUUCUGUGAAGAUUCAAAUUCCUAUGCUUCAUUUAAACUUCUUUGCCAUCUUUCAGUUAUCCUUUCCAAAUUCUAAAUUUUGAUAUUCCACUUACAUGUUCUACCAUUGUUUAUGAUGGGGUUUGUUUCUUUGACCAUUUUAAGUGAACAUUUCAAGGUACAUUUGUCUUGUGCAACUAUCACUACCAUACUGAUCUCCAGCUGAAAAUGAAAUAAUAACCUCUCAUUCUCCUCUCCCCCUAUCCUCUGGAACAUUCUGUCUCUGAAUUUGACUACCUCCAUUUAAGUGGAAUCAUAAAAUUUUUGUCCUUUUGUGACUGGCUAAUUUCACUUAGUGUAGUGUUUUCAAGGUCCAUUUAUUUUGUAACAUGUGUCAGAAUGUCCUUUUUAAUGCUGGAUAAUAUUCCAUUGUAUGUAUAGACCACAUUUUUCUUACUCUCUCCUCCAUAAUGGACACUUGGGUUGCUUCCAACUUUAGGCUACUGUGAAUAAUGCUACUGUGGACAUGAGUGUUCAAAUAUCUGUUUCAGACUCUUAGUUCUUUGGGGUCAACCCAAAGUGCAAUUGCUCGAGCCUGUGGUUUUUCUGUUUUUAAUUAUCCAUUCUUUUGUAGCUGCCACUUUUAAUACAGAUUCAAGAGCCAAUUUUUCCUCCCCUUUCCUUUCACCCUGCCCUGGACUCUCUUAACUGGAGUGGUAGUCCACCUUCUUCCUGAUGCCUAUGCUUCACACCUGGUGUCUGUCCCUGACAUGUUUAGUCAUCUAUCUGCUUAGCCCAUUGGUUCUUCACAGAAAUCACUCUUCAUGAUCUAUUCAAACCACUGGCACUGCCAUAAACCUGA